GCCUCUUUAGCUCAGUGGUAGAGCGUUGCACUUGUAGGCGCCGUUGGUGGUAGCUUUGCAAUGCAAAGGUCAUUCGUUCAAUCCGGGUAGGAGGCA